UUAAGUAAUUUGAAGGAAAAAAGAAAAGAAAAGAAAAGAAAAAAGAUUAAGACCUUAUGGCUGGGUUUAAACCCCAAAUUCGGCUAUAAGAUCUAUUUAAUUAAUUUGUAGGGGGAAUUACAGAUUACUCACUUAUGGUUUAGUUUGAAUUUAACUUACCCACCUGUGAUUUCAUUUUUAACAAUUUAUCCACUUGUGCUUCCCUCCAUUACUACUCUGUAACCCACCUCUCUUUCAAACGUUACUCUAACACAUUUUUUUUUUUAUCAAAAACAAAACCCAAAACAGAUCAAACACUCCUCUUUCUCUCAAAGUUAAAUAGUUUCCGGCAUAUGUGGCUAAAACUAGACAUGAGAAUUUGGAGUUUGGAUGAGUAAAAGCAGUUUAGAGUUUAGACAAGGAUGUUGUUUGUCUCAUCAACUUGGAAAGGCCAAUCAAGCUCUCACUCUCUCACCUCCAUUCUAUGGCUGCAACAGUUCACUCUCUUUCUCCUUAGAUCCACAACCACAACACCACUACUUUUCCCACUUCAAACCCCACCAAACUCUUCCUUUCACUUCCUUACCUCUUUUCCCCAAAUACCCACUUCUUACUAUUGCUCACAAACACAACUGCUAAGCUUUCAAAUCCUCUUCUUCUUCCUCCCACCCCACUCCUUCAACAACAACAACAACAAGCUCUUCUUUUCUUGAAGACCCAUUUUGAACAGGUCGGUUUCUAAGCAAUGAAGAGCUUGAAAAGCUCAAACUCCUCGAGGAUUUCAGGUAUUAUCAGGAACUGGAAUCUGGGUCAUUGUGGAUUCGGGUGAUGAGGGCAGAGGAGAUGGACAUCAUAAUUGCUUUGCUCCAUUUACUUGAUUUAGGGAUUUGGUUUCUUUUGGUUGUCAGGGUUUGAAAAAUGGGAUUUGAGGCAUGGUUACUAAUGGAUUCGUGGGUUUGGAUGUGUGGGUGUGUUGAUGUUUGUAUUUUGACUUGGGUUUUGGGGUUGUAUUUUGAUAGAUUUGUGGUUUGUACUUUGAUGGUGUGGGUGUGGGUGUGUUAGUGUUGGUGUCUAUGUAAAAUCAGGUGGUAUGGGGAUUGAUUGCUAGGUUCUUAUGCAAAUUCUAGUGAUGGGUUUGAAGCUUAAGAUGUUUGAAUAUAGGUUGUUGGUUCGAGGUCGGGUUUAUUAAUUCUGUUGUUGUUGUUGUUGUUGUUUGUUUUUUUUUUUUUUUUUUUUUUUUAAAUAUUUUUUCUGGGUUUUUGAUUGCAUUGUACUCCAAAGCAAUAUUGAGUUUUUAUUUUUGAUACAGCGAGAGAGAGGAGUGUUUGAUCUGUUUUGGGUUUUGUUUUAGAUAAAAAAUGUGUUAGAGUAACGUCUGAAAUGGAGGUGAGUUACGGAGUAGUAACGGAGUGAAGCACCGGUGGGUAAAGUAUUAAAAAUGAAACUACGGGUGGAUAAGUUAAAUUUGAGGCAAACCACAGAUCUUGGUGUCAAGUUUAUGUGAUCCAAAUUGCAUGAAGCCUGAUUUCAAUGAAUCCCUCUUUUCGGCCUCUGGUUUAGAUGAACGUUUGAUGUGCUAUGAAUGGAGCCCAAAGCUUGAGCCUCAAUCAUUUUCCGUCGCUGUCAAUCAACAUAAUGGUAUGGCCAAAUCCUAAAAACAGUGUAAAUGGGACAAACCACUCAGUGGUCCUUUAGUACCUCAACUCCAUACGAAUGGUGUGGUUCAUGUGUGGACUGAUGAAUACGUGUUGGUGUUGGAUUAUAUGGCUCCAACGAAAUAGACAGGUUGCAAUUUGUUUGUUUUUCAAAA